GCGAAACCACAGCCAAGGGA
rnacentral:ncRNA from 3 species